GUCUAUAGCCAUACCACUCUGAACGCACCCAGUCUCAUCUGAUCUCAGAAGUUAAGUAGGGUUAGGCCUGGUUAGUACCUGGAUGGAACAUAAUGAGGAAUGAGAAAAUCAGUCAUUUAUUAUCC
ensembl:rRNA 5S_rRNA 5S ribosomal RNA